rnacentral:lncRNA from 1 species
ACCGACCUUUUUUGUUAAAUCUUCCUCUUUUAUCAUGCUUGUUCCAGAAUUUCCCUUUCUUAGUCAAGGACCUUCUGUUAUCUUCCCUUCCAUGCUCUUGUUUCUCUGAAUCUAACAGAUGUUUCUCUGAAUUUAACACCUGUGGUGGUGGUAUUUCUGCAACCUCAACUCCUAGUUUCUCUGAACUUAACACCUGUGGUGGUGGUAUUUCUGCAACUUCAAC